rnacentral:rRNA from 1 species
AGAACGAACGCUGGCGGCAUGCCUAACACAUGCAAGUCGAACGAGACCGCUGACUUCGGUUGGCGCGUCUAGUGGCUCACGGGUGCGUAACGCGUGGGAAUCUGCCCCUCGGUUCGGAAUAACAGUUAGAAAUGACUGCUAAUACCGGAUGAUGACGAAAGUCCAAAGAUUUAUCGCCGAGGGAUGAGCCCGCGUAGGAUUAGCUAGUUGGUGGGGUAAUGGCCCACGAAGGCGACGAUCCUUAGCUGGUCUGAGAGGAUGAUCAGCCACACUGGGACUGAGACACGGCCCAGACUCCGUACGGGAGGCAGCGAGUGGGGAAUGUGGACAAGUGGGACGAAAGCCUGAUCCAGCAAUGCCGCGUGAGUGAUGGAAGGUCCGUUAGGGUUAGUAAAGCCGUUACGUUUUUACCCGGGAUUAGGUAAUAAGUCGAACGUA